rnacentral:misc_RNA from 1 species
GGACAACAAUGGCAGGUCUCGCGCCGGGACUGUCAAGGAAGCUGAAGAAAGUGUUGGAAUCAAGGACCGAUACGCCAGACGUUCUCAAUUCUCUCAACACUCUCUCCACUUUCUACACCGACAACACUCCUCAGAAUCGUCGCAACCUCAGAUCCACAAUCGAGAAGCGCUCACUUUCCAUCAACAUCGACUUUCUUCGCGCAUCUGAUACUGCCCAG